rnacentral:rRNA from 1 species
GGACGAAAGUCUGAGGCAGCAACGCCGCGUGCGCGAUGAAGGCCUUCGGGUCGUAAAGCGCUUUCGGGAGGAUGAGGAAGGACAGUACUCCUGGAAUAAGGAACGGCUAACUACGUGCCAGCAGCCGCGGUAAAACGUAGGUUCCGAGCGUUAUCCGGAUAUACUGGGCGUAAAGCGUGUUCAGGCGGCGCAGCCAGUCGGGCAUGAAAUCUCUCGGCUCAACCGGGAGAGGCUGUCCGGAACAGCUGGGCUUGAGGGCAGUAGAGGGUGGUGGAAUUCCGGGUGUAGUGGUGAAAUGCGUAGAUAUCCGGAGGAACACCAGUGGCGAAAGCGGCCACCUGGACUGUACCUGACGCUCAAACACGAAAGCUAGGGGAGCGAACGGGAUUAGAAACCCCGGUAGUCCUAGCCAUAAACGAUGUUGACUAGGUGUCAGCGGUCUCAACCCCGUUGGUGCCGGAGCAAACGCACUAAGUCAACCGCCUGGGGACUACGGCCGCAAGGUUA